GGACGAACGCUGGCGGCGUGCUUAACACAUGCAAGUCGAACGAAGAGCGAUGGAAGCUUGCUUCUAUCAAUCUUAGUGGCGAACGGGUGAGUAACGCGUGAGGAACCUGCCUCAAAGAGGGGGACAACAGUUGGAAACGACUGCUAAUACCGCAUAAGCCCACGGCUCGGCAUCGAGCAGAGGGAAAAGGAGCAAUCCGCUUUGAGAUGGCCUCGCGUCCGAUUAGCUAGUUGGUGAGGUAAUGGCCCACCAAGGCGACGAUCGGUAGCCGGACUGAGAGGUUGAACGGCCACAUUGGGACUGAGGCACGGCCCAGACUCCUACGGGAGGCAGCAGUGGGGAAUAUUGCACAAUGGGGGAAACCCUGAUGCAGCGACGCCGCGUGGAGGAAGAAGGUCUUCGGAUUGUAAACUCCUGUUGUUGAGGAAGAUAAUGACGGUACUCAACAAGGAAGUGACGGCUAACUACGUG
rnacentral:rRNA from 1 species